rnacentral:rRNA from 1 species
GACGAACGCUGGCGGCGUGCUUAACACAUGCAAGUCGAACGGAAAGCCCCUUUCGGGGGGACUCGAGUGGCGAACGGGUGAGUAACACGUGGGUGAUCUGCCCUGCACUUUGGGAUAAGCCUGGGAAACUGGGUCUAAUACCGGAUAGGACUACGCACUGCAUGGUGUGUGGUGGAAAGCUUUUGCGGUGUGGGAUGGGCCCGCGGCCUAUCAGCUUGUUGGUGGGGUGAUGGCCUACCAAGGCGACGACGGGUAGCCGGCCUGAGAGGGUGUCCGGCCACACUGGGACUGAGAUACGGCCCAGACUCCUACGGGAGGCAGCAGUGGGGAAUAUUGCACAAUGGGCGCAAGCCUGAUGCAGCGACGCCGCGUGAGGGAUGACGGCCUUCGGGUUGUAAACCUCUUUCAGCAUCGACGAAGCGCAAGUGACGGUAGAUGCAGAAGAAGCACCGGCCAACUACGUGCCAGCAGCCGCCGUAAGAC